CUCUUAACAACUUUACACAUUUCCAAGGUAGAUAAUUACUGAUCAGAUCAAGAAUUUCAUUGAAUUUUUCUUGUUCUUCAAAUUAAAAACACUGUGUCUUUUGAACAUCUCAAUUUAGAAAUCCAUACAAAUCUAAAAGGAAAAAGUAAGCUGAGAAAUUAGAUUAAGAAAAGUAUUGCCUGGCCCCGUUCUGUCUGCCUCUUCCAAAACUUUGAGUCGGGAAGCUAUCAUCUUCUUGAGAGGCUCCUAAAAUAGUAAGCUUCGUCUUGAGAUAGCUAGAAAAUGGGAACUAAUUGUGACCAGAAAUAGGCAAAAGCCCAAUGAUUUCUUCCUCCAUUUGCUGCAGCAUUCACAAGUUGAAGAAAAGAAAUGAAUAGCACCAUAUUCAUUUGUUUUCUUGUACUGUUUCUCUCAAUAUUGGAUUCUAAAACAUAAUCCACCAAAUCCAAAUAUAUACUCGUAUAUAUAGAUAGAGUUAUAUGUGUUUAUGCAUUAUUGCAUGUUACCCAUUGAAUAUGUGCUUCUCUCUCUCUGCACCACACCGCAUGGUGGAGGGGCGUUGGUGAGUGGUAGGAGGUUUAAAGAGGGGC
rnacentral:lncRNA from 1 species